GGCAAAUGAAGAUUACGCGUCGCCUUCUGUACGUAUACUGAAUGUAUCCUGAGUGUCUCAUUCUUUCCGGUAUACCUUCAGUAUACGUAACAGAAGAUGACACUGAUCACCGUGCGAAGA
rnacentral:precursor_RNA from 12 species